UGAGGAAUAUUGGUCAAUGGGCGCAAGCCUGAACCAGCCAUCCCGCGUGCAGGAAGACGGCCCUAUGGGUUGUAAACUGCUUUUCCAGGGGGAGAAUUUUUCUGUCGUGACAGGAAUUGACGGUACCCGGGGAAUAAGCAUCGGCUAACUCCGUGCAAGCAGCCGAGGUAAUACGGAGGAUGCGAGCGUUAUCCGGAUUUAUUGGGUUUAAAGGGUGCGUAGGCGGAUAGAUAAGUCAGUGGUGAAAACCUGCAGCUUAACUGUAGACUUGCCGUUGAUACUGUCAGUCUUGAGUAUGGUCAAGGUAGGCGGAAUGUGUAAUGUAGCGGUGAAAUGCUUAGAUAUUACACAGAACACCGAUUGCGAAGGCAGCUUGCUGGGCCAUUACUGCCGCUGAGGCACGAAAGCGUGGGGAUCAAACA
rnacentral:rRNA from 1 species